UGGACAAAUUAUUUUAUUCGACUGUAUUCACGACGUGAAACAGGGGAUUACACUAUUUUUAAACGGAAAGUGAAUCAAUUAACAUAAUAGACUCCU
rfam:Nicotiana attenuata strain TT chromosome 8, whole genome shotgun sequence.